rnacentral:rRNA from 1 species
UAGGGAAUCUUCGGCAAUGGACGGAAGUCUGACCGAGCAACGCCGCGUGAGUGAAGAAGGUUUUCGGAUCGUAAAGCUCUGUUGUUAGAGAAGAACGUUGGUAGGAGCGGAAAAUCUACCAAGUGACGGUAACUAACCAGAAAGGGACGGCUAACUACGUGCCAGCAGCCGCGGUAAUACGUAGGUCCCGAGCGUUGUCCGGAUUUAUUGGGCGUAAAGCGAGCGCAGGCGGUUCUUUAAGUCUGAAGUUAAAGGCAGUGGCUUAACCAUUGUACGCUUUGGAAACUGGAGGACUUGAGUGCGGAAGGGGAGGGUGGAAUUCCAUGUGUAGCGGUGAAAUGCGUAGAUAUAUGGAGGAACACCGGUGGCGAAAGCGGCUCUCUGGUCUGUAACUGACGCUGAGGCUCGAAAGCGUGGGGAGCAAACAGG